AGAGUUUGAUCAUGGCUCAGAUUGAACGCUGGCGGAAUGCUUUACACAUGCAAGUCGAGCGGCAGCGCGGGGGCAACCCUGGCGGCGAGCGGCGAACGGGUGAGUAAUAUAUCGGAACGUACCCCGUCGUGGGGGGAUAACACAGCGAAAGCUGUGCUAAUACCGCAUACGACCUGAGGGUGAAAGCGGGGGAUCGCAAGACCUCGCGCGAUGGGAGCGGCCGAUAUCGGAUUAGCUUGUUGGUGAGGUAAAGGCUCACCAAGGCGACGAUCCGUAGCUGGUCUGAGAGGACGACCAGCCACACUGGAACUGAGACACGGUCCAGACUCCUACGGGAGGCAGCAGUGGGGAAUUUUGGACAAUGGGGCAACCCUGAUCCAGCCAUUCCGCGUGAGUGAAGAAGGCCUUCGGGUUGUAAAGCUCUUUCAGCAGGAACGAAACGGUGGCCACUAAUACUGGCUACUAAUGACGGUACCUGAAGAAGAAGCACCGGCUAACUACGUG
rnacentral:rRNA from 1 species